GUCAUUAAAAGUCAGCCAAAAAUGUUUUGUUAUAUAUAUUAUAAUUUGGGUGCGCUUAUUUAUUUUGGCCAAUUGUGAGAAGUCACUGACGAGUUGUCCAUAUCAAAGAGGGGGGCGGAUUACGUUAGCCGUUCACCGUUCACCGUUCACUGUUCACCGUUAGGCGCCAGCACCUGUGUCGAGGAUAAGCAUCUAAUUUUCACUCUUACUUUCUCUCUCAGCUAGUUCCUGGAACUUGGCAACUGUUGUGGUACCUGCUGCACGUGCAAUUCCUGCUGCACUUGUUGUCUGAGCUCUACGGUUUCUUGGGAAAGCCGGAAAAACUGUUUGGACAAUAGAAAUUACGUGGGCUGCUGUUGCUGUUGCUGCUGGCCCCUUGAAGUCUCUAUUAGAGGCUGACUGAGUUAGUAGCCGGAAGCAAUGAAAAUGUGUGGAAAGUGUUGUUCCUGCCUCGAAUUUACAGCGAACAAGUGUUAAGGAUGUGCGUGACAGUCAUUAUGUGGGAUAUGAAGAUAACGUCACGUAGCAAACCUUAUGCUUGGGUUCCAAUAAGGACAUAUAUAGGAGAGAGAAUAAUACGACUGUAUUGUACAGUUAGAUGCGAACAAUGCCCACAAUUUGUCAGAUAAAGAUAACUCGAAGGUAGCCAUAAAAUAAAAAUUCUUGGAGAUUUGUAAUGCCUAAUCGUGUUUGUAGGCGGAAACUCCAUAUCAAUCAGGAUACAAAUUGAGGGAGAGUUUGCCAGAUAACACAUGGGAGAGUUUAAAAUCAAUCUCAAUAUUUCAGAUCUAAUAAUAAACAAAUUAGACGAACAUA